GGCGCUUUGGGAGCGGCCUACGUAUGAUUAGUUUGUUGGUGAGGUAAAAGCUCACCAAGACUACGAUCAUUAGCUGGUCUAAGAGGAUGAUCAGCCAGACUGGAACUGAGACACGGUCCAGACUCCUACGGGAGGCAGCAGUAGGGAAUCUUCCACAAUGGACGAAAGUCUGAUGGAGCAACGCCGCGUGCAGGAUGAAGGCUUUCGAGUCGUAAACUGCUUUUAUGAGUGAAGAUUUUGACGGUAACUCAUGAAUAAGGAUCGGCUAACUCCGUGCCAGCAGCCGCGGUCAUACGGAGGAUCCAAGCGUUAUCCGGAAUUACUGGGCGUAAAGAGAUGCGUAGGUGGUUUUUUAAGCAAAAUGUGAAAUCACGGGGCUCAACCUCGUGGCUGUAUUUUGAACUGAUCAACUUGAGAAUGGUAGAGGUAACUGGAAUUCCUAGUGUAGGAGUGAUAUCCGUAGAUAUUAGGAGGAACACCAAUGGCGAAGGCAGGUUACUGGGCCAUUUCUGACACUGAGGCUCGAAAGCGUGGGGAGCGAACCGGAUUAGAUACCCGGGUAGUCCACGCCGUAAACUAUGGAUGCUAGCUGUUGGUCGUAUCGACCCGAUCAGUAGCGAAGCUAACGCGUUAAGCAUCCCGCCUGUGGAGUACGAGCGCAAGCUUAAAACAUAAAGGAAUUGACGGGGACCCGCACAAGCGGUGGAGCGUGUUGUUUAAUUCGAUGAUAAGCGAAGAACCUUACCCAGACUUGACUUCCUUGGAAGGACUGCGAAAGCAGACUGUGCCUUUUGGAACCAAGUGACAGGUGUUGCAUGGCCGUCGUCAGCUCGUGUCGUGAGAUGUUUGGUUAAGUCCAUUAACGAGCGCAACCCUUAUAGUUAGUUGUAUUUUUCUAGCUAGACU
rnacentral:rRNA from 1 species